CCACGCCGUAAACUAUGAUUACUCAGAGUAUGCGAUAUACAGUAUGCUCUCAAGCGAAAGCAUUAAGUAAUCCACCUGGGGAGUACGUCGGCAACGAUGAAACUCAAAGGAAUUGACGGGGGCCCGCACAAGCGGAGGAACAUGUGGUUUAAUUCGAUGAUACGCGAGGAACCUUACCUGGGAUUGAAAUGUAUAUGUUGGUUGUUGGAAACAACUUCCUUCCUCUUCGGAGGCGUAUAUGUAGGUGCUGCAUGGUUGU
rnacentral:rRNA from 1 species